ACUAUUGAUAGAACAUUUGAUCGCUCCAUUGAAAUCUGGAAGUUUCAAUUCUACUCUCUAGUCACGGACUUUGAAGACAGGAUGGUAAUCCCCGUGCCUCUAAACCUUAUUACCUACCCUUUUCAAAUUGUAAACUAUGGCGGCAAACUGUGUAUCACUGGCCUCUUCGAGUGCGCUUCGUGUCUGCGGGGCAUACAAGAACAAUUCAAGCCUGUUUCUAAACAACAAUUCUCUGUUCCCU
rnacentral:sRNA from 1 species